ensembl:lncRNA
UCAAAACAGAAAGAGUGUGUUGUGGAAUAAUCCUGAACAAUUUCUGCUGAGUGAGUCCCAGCAAAGCUUUAGCACAUCCCUUAAGAUUACAGGGUGUGCUUUCAGCGUGAUCCCAGAGGAAUUAGGCAGGCAACUUCAGCUAUGGCUUAAUGUGACUUGUGCUGCCAGCUUUGCUGGAAAAUAUACUGCAGUGGUGGAAGCUAGAGAAGCAGAUGACACAGAAGGGCUGCCUUUACCAUGCCAGGUAACAAGUUUAAAGAGGCUUGAGGAAGUGAUGAGUUAG